CCUGUGUUGAAAGUGUACAACAAAUCAAAAAGUAACAAAUAGGAAUUGUUUACAAACAAUUACAGCUAGGAAAAAUGUGAAAUAUGUAGAAAAUUUAUGUAAACUUGAUUAAUUCAGGAGAUUCAUCAAAAACCAUGAAAGAUCCCACAUUUUGUAUCAAUUGUUAUCUACAGCCAUUCACGUAUAUAUUAAAGAGGUUCGGUAUAAAUAUUUUACCUUCGUGCCAGGAAAUAAACGGUGGCACUAACAAUUGCCAACGACUGUAUUAUACGUUUCUUCUAGUAAUAUGGGUUUUACUUUACUUUUGGGGAAUUUUUAUUUCUCUGGUUGACGAACAAACAAGUAUCCAAUAUUGCGGGGGAAUUGUCUAUAAUAUAAGAGAUAGUUAUAGUACAAUCAUUUUGAGUAAAUGUUUAUUAUUAGAGAUACUUUCGUCACUGGUAAUUUGCUUAGUGAAAAUUUAUUUUCAAAAAUAUUCAAAAAGUCAGACAUUCGAAUAUAAUUAUAAAGGCGAGAUAAAAAACUUGUUGAAGAUAAGAAAAUGGGUUCAAAGAUUCGUAGUAAUUUUCUUUGUCUCUGGAGUCGUAAUAAUAUCAAUUGUGGUUGAUGUUUUUAUUCGAUACAUUCCCAUUCCCGAAAAUCGAUUAAUCAUUUGUUCAGUUUUAUAUACAUUUUUUUAUACAUGGUGUUUUGGGGUCUUGUUAUAUUUUAUUGCUGUUAUAUUUCUCAUGAUAUACUUUAUUAAAUUAAAAUUUGAGAACAUCUGUCAAGCUUGUUCGGAGUUUAGAAUUAAUCUAGAAAGAAUUGAAAAUGUCCUAAUAAUCGAAGAAAGGAAAUUUGUUGAAUUAUGCGAAAUUAUCAAAGAAUUAGAUGAUGAAUUUUCGUACGUACUUUCGAUUGCAGGCUUUAGCAUGACAAAAUCUGUAGCUUGUUGUUUGUAUUAUAUAAUGUUUGCUCCACCCAUUGAUAAAAUCUUUUUUGCAUUAUUCGCAUUGGUACUUACAAUAUCGUAUAUGACUGUUGGUGUGACUGUUGCCGACAUUCCAGUAAAGAUGCAUUUAUCACAUCUAGUGAUGAUAGAACACACUUGACAUAUCGUUAUUAAUUUACUAGCUUCAGCUCCUAUAGAACAAUUACGCAUUUUAAGUAUUUACGAACUGGACGUUAUUCACAAGUGGAAGGUUGUAACUUUCGUAAAAUGGAUGAAUGUAGAUCGCGUGGGCUUUCAUUAUUUUGGAACAAUUCUCGUCACCAAAUCCUAUGUUAUUGAGUCAAUAUGCUCAAUAUGGAGUGCACUGUCAUCGCUGAUGCAAUUCAGAGAUCUGAUGUCGGAAGAAUACGUUUCUUCGAUCUGCAAUAAAACAUUAUUCGAAAAUUUAUAUAAUUAGAAUGUAAAUAAAUUCAAAAAUGAAAAAAAAGUAAAGAAAGAAAAAUUGUAAGAAAGAAAAAAACACAGCAAAAUAAAAUUGUUUUCCUAUUCCUCCUUACAAAUCGCUAUUCUGAUUGUAAUUUCGAAUAAGAAAAGAUAAAUCACUCUUAAAUGUUUAAUGUUACUAACUGUUAAUAUCUGUGUUUUGUUUGUUUGUAUUGAUA